GACGAACGCUGACGGCGUGCCUAAUACAUGCAAGUAGAACGCUGAAGAGAGGAGCUUGCUCUUCUUGGAUGAGUUGCGAACGGGUGAGUAACGCGUAGGUAACCUGCCUUGUAGCGGGGGAUAACUAUUGGAAACGAUAGCUAAUACCGCAUAACAAUGGAUGACACAUGUCAUUUAUUUGAAAGGGGCAAUUGCUCCACUACAAGAUGGACCUGCGUUGUAUUAGCUAGUAGGUGAGGUAACGGCUCACCUAGGCGACGAUACAUAGCCGACCUGAGAGGGUGAGCGGCCACACUGGGACAGAGACACGGCUCAGACUCCUACGGGAGGAAGCACGAGGGAAUCUUGGGGAAUGGGGGCAACCCGGACCGCGCAACGCCGCGUGAGGGAAGAGGGGUUUCGGAGAGUAAAGCCCUGUUGUAAGUAAAGAACGAGGGUGAGAGUGGAAAGUACACACUGGGACGGUAGCUUACCAGAAAGGGACGGCUAACUACGUG
rnacentral:rRNA from 1 species